UCCCUGAUGGUCCAGUGACUAAGAUGCUUCACUCCCAGGGCAGGGGGCCCAGGUUCAAUCCCUGGUCAGGGAA
rnacentral:tRNA from 1 species